GCCCAGUCGCAGCAGGGUCGUCGUCAUCUUGAGCCGUGAGAUGAGGGUUAAGUCACGCAACGAGCGCAGCCCUCGUUUUAUGUUGCCAGCACGUAAUGGUGGGAACUCAUGGGAUGGUGCCGGGGUCAACUCGGAGGAAGGUGGGGAUGACGUCAAAUCAUCAUGCCCCUUAUGUCUUGGGCUUCACGCAUGCUACAAUGGCCGGUACAAAGGGCUGCGAUACCGUAAGGUGGAGCGAAUCCCAAAAAGCCGGUCCCAGUUCGGAUUGAGGUCUGCAACUCGACCUCAUGAAGUCGGAGUCGCUAGUAAUCGCAGAUCAGCAACGCUGCGGUGAAUACGUUCCCGGGUCUUGUACACACCGCCCGUCAAGUCAUGAAAGUCGGUAACACCUGAAGCCGGUGGCCUAACCCUUGUGGAGGGAGCCGUCGAAGGUGGAUCGUUGCCACA
rnacentral:rRNA from 1 species